GGGGCUGACUUGGAUUUCGACAGAUUUCUUGUCGCACAGACAGCAUGCCAAGUGCUACUUGUAAAACAGCAACAAAAAUAACUGUAAACAACACAGAUUACGCUCCAGCUUACGCUAAAGCUGCGUGAGUUAAUCUCCUUUUGGAGCUGGACUGAUUAGAAUUUCUAGCGUUUUAAUCACUCCAUAACCUUAAGCUAGACGCUUUUAAAAGGUGGUUCGCCUUUUAAACUAAGAAACAAGAACUCUUGAAACUAUCUCAAGGUUUUAGAAAGUUGGACCAGAGCUAGUUUUAAGGCUAAAAAACCAACCAAUUUUCUAAGCAUUGUAGAAGUUUGUGUUUAGGGCAAGAUUUUUGGACUGGGGUUCGAUUCCCCACAGCUCCACCA
rnacentral:tmRNA from 1 species